GGCGUAAAGAGCUCGUAGGCGGUUUGUCGCGUCUGCUGUGAAAAUCCAAGGCUCAACCUUGGACCUGCAGUGGGUACGGGCAGACUAGAGUGCGGUAGGGGAGAUGGGAAUUCCUGGUGUAGCGGUGGAAUGCGCAGAUAUCAGGAGGAACACCAAUGGCGAAGGCACAUCUCUGGGCCGUAACUGACGCUGAGGAGCGAAAGCGUGGGGAGCGAACAGGAUUAGAUACCCUGGUAGUCCACGCCGUAAACGGUGGGUGCUAGUUGUGGGCCACAUUCCACGUGGUCCGUGACGAAGUUAACACAUUAAGCACCCCGCCUGGGGAGUACGGUCGCAAGACUAAAACUCAAAGGAAUUGACGGGGGCCCGCACAAGCGGCGGAGCAUGCGGAUUAAUUCGAUGCAACGCGAAGAACCUUACCAAGGCUUGACAUAUAGAGGAAACGUGCAGAAAUGUACGCCCCGCAAGGUCACUAUACAGGUGGUGCAUGGUUGUCGUCAGCUCGUGUCGUGAGAUGUUGGGUUAAGUCCCGCAACGAGCGCAACCCUCGUCCUAUGUUGCCAGCACGUAAUGGUGGGAACUCAUGGGAGACUGCCGGGGUCAACUCGGAGGAAGGU
rnacentral:rRNA from 1 species